GAUGAACGCUGGCGGCGUGCCUAAUACAUGCAGUCGAGCGAACAGACGAGGAGCUUGCUCCUCUGACGUUAGCGGCGGACGGGUGAGUAACACGUGGAUAACCUACCUAUAAGACUGGGAUAACUUCGGGAAACCGGAGCUAAUACCGGAUAAUAUAUUGAACCGCAUGGUUCAAUAGUGAAAGACGGUUUUGCUGUCACUUAUAGAUGGAUCCGCGCCGCAUUAGCUAGUUGGUAAGGUAACGGCUUACCAAGGCGACGAUGCGUAGCCGACCUGAGAGGGUGAUCGGCCACACUGGAACUGAGACACGGUCCAGACUCCUACGGGAGGCAGCAGUAGGGAAUCUUCCGCAAUGGGCGAAAGCCUGACGGAGCAACGCCGCGUGAGUGAUGAAGGUCUUCGGAUCGUAAAACUCUGUUAUUAGGGAAGAACAAAUGUGUAAGUAACUAUGCACGUCUUGACGGUACCUAAUCAGAAAGCCACGGCUAACUACGUG
rnacentral:rRNA from 1 species